GGGAGCCCGAGAAACGGCUACCACUUCCAAGGAAGGCAGCAGGCGCGCAACUUACCCUAAUCUCGAUUCGAGGAGGUAGUGACAAGAAAUACCGAUGCGGGACCCUACGGGUAGCCGCGUUCGGAAUGAGUACGAUUCGAACCACCUAACGAGGAACGAUCGGAGGGCAAGUCUGGUGCCAGCAGCCGCGGUAAUUCCAGCUCCAAUAGCGUACGUUAAAGUUGCUGCAGUUAAAAAGCUCGUAGUUGAACGUUCGGGUUCCGCGGGACGGGGCCGCCCCGCGAGGGACGGCGCCGCCCCGGGGCUCGUGAUAUCUCAUCUCGCCGCCCGUCGCGAGGCGGACGGAGGGAUGGAUGAGGUUACCUGGAAAAAAUCGGGGCGAUCUAGGCGGGCGAACCUCGCCAACGAACGAUCGGACAUGGGAUAACGGAAGAGGGCGUCGGCUCGGACUUCGUCGGUUCCUCGGGCCGAGGCACGUAC
rnacentral:rRNA from 1 species